rnacentral:rRNA from 1 species
AUUAUAUAAGUUAUCGUUUAUUUGAUAGUACCUUACUACUUGGAUAACCGUGGUAAUUCUAGAGCUAAUACAUGCUAAAAAUCCCGACUUCGGAAGGGAUGUAUUUAUUAGAUACAAAACCAAUGCCCCUCGGGGCUCUCUGGUGAUUCAUGAUAACUCGUCGAAUCGCACGGCCUUGCGCCGGCGAUGGUUCAUUCAAAUUUCUUCCCUAUCAACUUUCGAUGUUUGGGUAGUGGCCAAACAUGGUGGCAACGGGUAACGGAGGGUUAGGGCUCGACCCCGGAGAAGGAGCCUGAGAAACGGCUACUACAUCCAAGGAAGGCAGCAGGCGCGCAAAUUACCCAAUCCCGAUACGGGGAGGUAGUGACAAUAAAUACUGAUACAGGGCUCUUUUGGGUCUUGUAAUUGGAAUGAGUACAAUUUAAAUCCCUUAACGAGGAACAAUUGGAGGGCAAGUCUGGUGCCAGCAGCCGCGGUAAUUCCAGCUCCAAUAGCGUAUAUUAAAGUUGUUGUGGUUAAAAAGCUCGUAGUUGAAUCUUGGGCCUGGCUGGCCGGUCCGCCUCACCGCGUGUACUGGUCCGGCCGGGUCUUUCACUCUGCGGAACCACAUGCCCUUCAGUGGGUGUGGCGGGGAAGCAGGACUUUUACUUUGAAAAAAUUAGAGUGCUCUAAGCAGGCCAAUGCUCGAAUACAUUAGCAUGGAAUAAUAAAAUAGGACGCGCGGUUCUAUUUUGUUGGUUUCUAGGACCGCCGUAAUGAUGAAUAGGGACAGUCGGGGGCAUCAGUAUUCAGUUGUCAGAGGUGAAAUUCUUGGAUCUACUGAAGACUAACUACUGCGAAAGCAUUUGCCAAGGAUGUUUUCAUUAAUCAGGAACGAAAGUUAGGGGAUCGAAGACGAUCAGAUACCGUCGUAGUCUUAACCAUAAACUAUGCCGACUAGGGAUCGGACGAUGUUAUUUAGUUGACUCGUUCGGCACCUUAC